CUUUGCAGAGUCCUUUGGAGACUGUGGAAAAGAUUGCGCAAGAGAGAGGCUUGGCACCAGAAGAAAUUCAUAACUUGCUGAACAUCGCACUCAGUGCCAAGCUUGGCACAGUGAUAAGCACUAGGCUACUGAAGAAUCUGAUUCCCAUUUCCGUAAUAACAGAGGAUUCUCUUAUUUCAGCUGUCUCUUGGCUCUGUGCUCGCAAGUGUUCUAGUGACUUUCAGGUGCUCAUUCUAAAAUGGAUAAUUGUAACGUUUGACUUCAUUGAUCAGAAGGAAAAUAUUAAUGCUCUCUAUGGUUUCUUCUUCAGCUUCUUACAAUAUGAG